rnacentral:rRNA from 1 species
GUAAGGAAUAUUGGACAAUGGACGCAAGUCUGAUCCAGCCAUGCCGCGUGAAGGAUUAAGGUCCUCUGGAUUGUAAACUUCUUUUAUAAGGGACGAAAAAAGGCUUUUCUAAGUCGUCUGACGGUACCUUAUGAAUAAGCACCGGCUAACUCCUUGCCAGCAGCCGCGGUAAUACGGAGGGUGCAAGCGUUAUCCGGAUUCACUGGGUUUAAAGGGUGCGUAGGCGGGCAGGUAAGUCAGUGGUGAAAUCCUAGAGCUUAACUCUAGAACUGCCAUUGAUACUAUCUGUCUUGAAUAGUGUGGAGGUAAGCGGAAUAUGUCAUGUAGCGGUGAAAUGCUUAGAUAAGACAUAGAACACCUAUUGCGAAGGCAGCUUACUACGCAUAUAUUGACGCUGAGGCACGAAAGCGUGGGGAUCAAACAGGAUUAGAUACCCUAGUAGUCC